UUAUUUUUAUUUUUAUUGUGUAAAAUAUUAUUUAGUUUCGCUUUUGUAUUCUAAAUUUAUAUAAGAAAAAACUACAAAUAUUAUCCAUAUUUUCUCACUUUACUAUCAUGUGGUUUAAAUUAUAUCAGUUUAGUGCCCCUUGGUUUUAUCUUUAUUUUUUUAUUAUCGAUUUUACUAAUUUUUUUUAUUAAAUCAGUGACAAAAUUAAAACUAAAAAAUAAAGUAAAUAUUCGAUAAACUUAGAUGGGUUAUCUAAAGUUUUUUUAUAUAUAGUUUAACGAAAUAUUAACAGAAAAGUUGACGAAAAGAUAAAAAUGAAACCAUAUGACAUUAACUUGGUAAACUUUAGAUCACAGAAUACUGAAUUGAGAAAGUGUGAAAAUAUAACGGUGAUAUUGAAAGUUUACCCUUUGUAUAAAUAUCAUC
rnacentral:lncRNA from 1 species